GAAAAUGAAAUACUUAGAGCUUCUAACUCUAAAAAUUGCAAUUCUGUAACAUUUUCU
rnacentral:tRNA from 1 species